GACGAACGCUGGCGGCGUGCUUAACACAUGCAAGUCGAACGGAAAGGCCCUGCUUUUGUGGGGUGCUCGAGUGGCGAACGGGUGAGUAACACGUGAGUAACCUGCCCUUGACUUUGGGAUAACUUCAGGAAACUGGGGCUAAUACCGGAUAGGAGCUCCUGCUGCAUGGUGGGGGUUGGAAAGUUUCGGCGGUUGGGGAUGGACUCGCGGCUUAUCAGCUUGUUGGUGGGGUAGUGGCUUACCAAGGCUUUGACGGGUAGCCGGCCUGAGAGGGUGACCGGCAACAUUGGGACGAGGAUCGGGCCCAACCUCUUACGGGGGGAAGAGGUGGGGAAAUUUGCACAAGGGGCGGAGGCUUGAGGCAGAAACCCCGCGGGCGGGAUGAGGCCUUUGGGGUUGAAACCGGCUUUCGCUGGGGAGGAAGGGUGGGUGAGGUAAAUGGGAAAAGAAGAACGGGUAAAUUCCGU
rnacentral:rRNA from 1 species